UGUGGGAGCGAGCUUGCUCGCGAUGGCGGUGUGUCAGACACAUGGAUGUUGAAUGUAUGGCCGCAAUCGCGAGCAAGCUCGCUCCCACA
rnacentral:antisense_RNA from 1 species